GACGAACGCUGGCGGCGUGCUUAACACAUGCAAGUCGAACGGAAAGGCCCUGCUUUUGUGGGGUGCUCGAGUGGCGAACGGGUGAGUAACACGUGAGUAACCUGCCCUUGACUUUGGGAUAACUUCAGGAAACUGGGGCUAAUACCGGAUAGGAGCCCCUGCUGCAUGGUGGGGGUUGGAACGUUUCGGCGGUUGGGGAUGGACUCGCGGCUUAUCAGCUUGUUGGUGGGGUAGUGGCUUACCAAGGCUUUGACGGGUAGCCGGCCUGAGAGGGUGACCGGCCACAAUGGGACUGAGAGACGGACCAGACUCCUACGGGAGGCAGCAGUGGGGAAUAUUGCACAAUGGGCGGAAGCCUGAUGCAGCAACGCCGCGUGCGGGAUGACGGCCUUCGGGUUGUAAACCGCUUUCGCCUGUGACGAAGCGUGAGUGACGGUAAUGGAUAAAGAAGCACCGGCUAACUACGUG
rnacentral:rRNA from 1 species